UCCUCCGUGGCGCAAUUGGCUAGCGCGUUCGGCUGUUACCCAGCAGCAAACCGAGAGGUUGGUGGUUCGAGCCCACCCGGGGGAG
rnacentral:tRNA from 2 species